GUCAACAUGUUGGUCACUACUGAGAGAAUCUUAAAAAGUUCAAAAGAUACUAUUCUCACUGUAGAGCAGUCUUCUUCAUCCAAGAGAAAGUCUGAUUGAAAGAAGAAGAGUAAACCUACAAAGAAGCAGAAAAAGAACAGCAAGCCAAAAGGCUGCAGCAAAGAAAAAGUGUUUCCACUAUGAUGUUGAUGGCCAUUGGAGGAGGAACUAUUCACUUUACCUGGAGAGCCUGA
rnacentral:lncRNA from 1 species